rnacentral:rRNA from 1 species
AAUAGAUACCCAGGUAGUCCACGCCGUAAACGAUGAGUGCUAAGUGUUAGGGGGUUUCCGCCCCUUAGUGCUGCAGCUAACGCAUUAAGCACUCCGCCUGGGGAGUACGGUCGCAAGACUGAAACUCAAAGGAAUUGACGGGGGCCCGCACAAGCGGUGGAGCAUGUGGUUUAAUUCGAAGCAACGCGAAGAACCUUACCAGGUCUUGACAUCCCGCUGACCGCUAUGGAGACAUAGCUUUCCCUUCGGGGACAGCGGUGACAGGUGGUGCAUGGUUGUCGUCAGCUCGUGUCGUGAGAUGUUGGGUUAAGUCCCGCAACGAGCGCAACCCUUGUCCUUAGUUGCCAUCAUUCAGUUGGGCACUCUAAGGAGACUGCCGUACAAAUACGGAGGAAGGUGGGGAUGACGUCAAGUCAUCAUGCCCCUUAUGACCUGGGCUACACACGUGCUACAAUGGACGGUACAAACGGUUGCGAAGUCGCGAGACGGAGCCAAUCCGAGAAAGCCGUUCUCAGUUCGGAUUGCAGG